GCUUGUCUCAAAGAUUAAGCCAUGCAUGUCUAAGUAUAAACGAUUUUAUACGUGAAACUGCGAAUGGCUCAUUAUAUCAGUUAUAGUUUAUUUGAUGGUCUUACUACUUGGAUAACCGUAGUAAUUCUAGAGCUAAUACAUGCACAAAUUCCCGUCAGGGAUGUAUUUAUUAGAUUGAAACCAAUGCGGGGUAACCCGGUGUUUGGUGAUUCAUAAUAACUUUUGCGGAUCGCAUGGCCUUGAGCCGGCGACGAAUCAUUCAAAUUUCUGCCCUAUCAACUUUCGAUGGUACGGUAUUGGCCUACCAUGGUUACCACGGGUAACGGGGAAUUAGGGUUCGGUUCCGGAGAGGGGGCCUGAGAAAUGGCCACCACAUCCAAGGAAGGCAGCAGG
rnacentral:rRNA from 1 species